rnacentral:rRNA from 1 species
UACGUAGGUGGCAAGCGUUGUCCGGAAUUAUUGGGCGUAAAGCGCGCGCAGGCGGUCCUUUAAGUCUGAUGUGAAAGCCCACGGCUCAACCGUGGAGGGUCAUUGGAAACUGGGGGACUUGAGUACAGAAGGGAAGAGUGGAAUUCCACGUGUAGCGGUGAAAUGCGUAGAGAUGUGGAGGAACACCAGUGGCGAAGGCGACUCUUUGGUCUGUAACUGACGCUGAGGCGCGAAAGCGUGGGGAGCAAACAGG